rnacentral:rRNA from 1 species
GACGAACGCUGGCGGCGUGCUUAACACAUGCAAGUCGAACGGAAAGGCCCUGCUUUUGUGGGGUGCUCGAGUGGCGAACGGGUGAGUAACACGUGAGUAACCUGCCCUUGACUUUGGGAUAACUUCAGGAAACUGGGGCUAAUACCGGAUAGGAGCUCCUGCUGCAUGGUGGGGGUUGGAUAGUUUCGGCGGUUGGGGAUGGACUCGCGGCUUAUCAGCUUGUUGGUGGGGUAGUGGCUUACCAAGGCUUUGACGGGUAGCCGGCCUGAGAGGGUGACCGGCCACAUUGGGACUGAGAUACGGCCCAGACUCCUACGGGAGGCAGCAGUGGGGAAUAUUGCACAAUGGGCGGAAGCCUAAUGCAGCAACGCCGCGGGCGGGAUGACGGCCUUCGGGUGGUAAACCGCUUUCGCCUGUGACGAAGCGUGAGUGACGGUAAUGGGUAAAGAAGCACCGGCUAACUACGUG